UUAUCCAAUUCCUGUGCACUGCUAUGGGAGGUGGCAUUUUCAAGGCAGUUUAGAUCGGCAGAAGCUUAUGGAGGUGCAGACACAAUUGAAAUUAAUGCUACAGGAAGUAGAAAGGAGCGACAUGAAUUGGAUCACUUACUCUGAUUAAAUUACACAGUCCAACAAAGUUUCAACUUGAUAUGUCCCCUUUAAGUACUAUUUUUUCUUAAUCCCAUAGACAGAAUAUGUAAAGUAGUUAAGUUGUAGGAAAAUAUAGUUAAGAAGUAUAGGUAUGUAACUGAUUUCUACAGAGAAUAACUUACAAGAAGAGUGAGGACUUUGAGAGUACCUUGAGUCUCUUAACUAUUCUUCAUAGUAUUUCAUCUUACCAACUAAAAUUUUAGGUAGAGGGUAUGGAAAGAUUAUGUCACGAAUACCAACACCCUGUCCUCACUGAGAUUUACCUACAGACACGUAAUACCAGUUGUGACAAUCUAACCUUUCCUGGAUGUGUUUUUGGAGGCAGGUGGAUAUUUAAGCCAACUUAAUAAGUUGUAUUAAUGCCAUCUCUAUUUAAUGCCAUCUUCAGUUGUUCAUAGGAGACCAUCUGGAUUUAACAGUGAGGAAAAAUAUAUAACUGCUAUCAUUAAGUGGCUUAAUUUUUACUUCAUACUCAUUGGACAAGGAUUAGUUUCUGAUAUUAUUGUAGGCAGCAGAAUGAAAAGACAAGUUCCUGCCUGAA
rnacentral:lncRNA from 1 species